rnacentral:lncRNA from 1 species
GUAUGUAUUUGAAAAAAUCUUCUAGGUUGGAGGAGAGAAUCAAUACUUCCAUGUUUGUUUGAACAAGACGUAUAUUUACGACCGGUUUGGUUUUUAGUUUGGGUAGCCAUUUUAAUUUCAACUUUGGUUCGAUUUAAUUAAUGUAGAUUCUGUUGGUUUCGUCACAAUAUAUAAAAAGGGAAAUAAAAUUGGAGAUCAAGAACAUGCUCCAACUCUAAUUCUCUAAGGCUAUAGUUACACAUCUCAUUUCACUUUGAACUUUGUCCGUCUCUGUAGUUUGUACGCAUAGAUGAUGUUGGUUUGUAAAUUGUCAUCAUGGUAUGAUGUUGGUUU